CCCUUCUCUCAUUGAGCAAAGAGACACUUAGUUGGUGGUGGUUCUCUUAUAUCAGUCAGAGGCAGAACAGAUGGCAGUCCUUUGUUCAUCCUAGCUUGAUGCCUGGCUUGGUGGCCAUUGCUGUUUUAUGCCUAGAACACAUAA